rnacentral:rRNA from 1 species
GUAAAGUGGCGCACGGGUGAGUAACACGUGGAUAAUCUUCCCUCGAGCGGGGGAUAACAUUCCGAAAGGAGUGCUAAUACCGCAUAAGACCACGUCCUCGAAAGAGGAUGAGGUAAAAGCCGGCCUCUAUACAUAAGCUGGCACUUGAGGAUGAGUCCGCGGCCCAUCAGGUAGUUGGCAGGGUAAUGGCCUACCAAGCCUAAGACGGGUAGCUGGUCUGAGAGGAUGAUCAGCCACACUGGAACUGACACACGGUCCAGACUCCUACGGGAGGCAGCAGUGGGGAAUCUUGCGCAAUGGACGAAAGUCUGACGCAGCGACGCCGCGUGGGUGAUGAAGGCCUUCGGGUUGUAAAGCUCUGUGGGGCGGGACGAAUAUGUGGAGGCUAAUACCCUCCAUGAUGACGGUACCGCCUUAGCAAGCACCGGCUAACUCUGUGCCAGCAGCCGCGGUAAGACAGAGGGUGCAAACGUUGUUCGGAAUUACUGGGCGUAAAGCGUGUGUAGGCGGUCGAGUAAGUUGGAUGUGAAAGCCCCAGGCUUAACCUGGGAAGUGCACCCAAAACUGCGCGACUUGAGUAUCGGAGAGGUUGGUGGAAUUCUCGGUGUAGAGGUGAAAUUCGUAGAUAUCGAGAGGAACACCGGUGGCGAAGGCGGCCAACUGGACGAAUACUGACGCUGAGACACGAAAGCGUGGGGAGCAAACAGGAUUAGAUACCCUGGUAGUCCAC